UACGAAGGGGGCUAGCGUUGUUCGGAUUUACUGGGCGUAAAGCGCACGUAGGCGGAUCGAUCAGUCAGGGGUGAAAUCCCAGAGCUCAACUCUGGAACUGCCUUUGAUACUGUCGAUCUGGAGUAUGGAAGAGGUGAGUGGAAUUCCGAGUGUAGAGGUGAAAUUCGUAGAUAUUCGGAGGAACACCAGUGGCGAAGGCGGCUCACUGGUCCGGUACUGACGCUGAUGUGCGAAAGCGUGGGGAGCAAACAGG
rnacentral:rRNA from 1 species